AUGGUUUAAAGACAGAGUGGGGAGAGGCUCACUAUUUGCAAACCAGCAAAUAGUGAGCCUCUCCCAACUCUGUCUUUAAACCAU